rnacentral:rRNA from 1 species
CUCAACGACCGUACCGCAAACCGACACUGGUGCGCGAGAUGAGUAUUCUAAGGCGCUUGAGAGAACUCAGGAGAAGGAACUCGGCAAAUUGACACCGUAACUUCGGAAGAAGGUGUGCCCUAUUAGUGUGAAGUGAACAACGGAGCAUGAAUGGGUUGCAAAAAAUCGGUGGCUGCGACUGUUUAUUAAAAACACAGCACUCUGCAAACACGAAAGUGGACGUAUAGGGUGUGACGCCUGCCCGGUGCUGGAAGAUUAAAUGAUGGGGUGCAAGCUCUUGAUUGAAGUCCCAGUAAACGGCGGCCGUAACUAUAACGGUCCUAAGGUAGCGAAAUUCCUUGUCGGGUAAGUUCCGACCUGCACGAAUGGCGUAACGAUGGCCACACUGUCUCCUCCUGAGACUCAGCGAAGUUGAAAUGUUUGUGAUGAUGCAAUCUCCCCGCGGAAAGACGGAAAGACCCCAUGAACCUUUACUGUAGCUUUGUAUUGGACUUUGAACAGAUCUGUGUAGGAUAGGUGGGAGGCUUUGAAGCAGGGUCGCUAGAUCUUGUGGAGCCAACGUUGAAAUACCACCCUGGUGUGUUUGAGGUUCUAACCUAGGUCCAUUAUCUGGAUCGGGGACAGUGCAUGGUAGGCAGUUUGACUGGGGCGGUCUCCUCCCAAAGCGUAACGGAGGAGUUCGAAGGUACGCUAGUUACGGUCGGACAUCGUGACGAUAGUGCAAUGGCAUAAGCGUGCUUAACUGCGAGACUGACAAGUCGAGCAGAUGCGAAAGCAGGACAUAGUGAUCCGGUGGUUCUGUAUGGAAGGGCCAUCGCUCAACGGAUAAAAGGUACUCUGGGGAUAACAGGCUGAUACCGCCCAAGAGUUCAUAUCGACGGCGGUGUUUGGCACCUCGAUGUCGGCUCAUCUCAUCCUGGGGCUGUAGCCGGUCCCAAGGGUAUGGCUGUUCGCCAUUUAAAGAGGUACGUGAGCUGGGUUUAAAACGUCGUGAGACAGUUUGGUCCCUAUCUUCCGUGGGCGCUGCAGAUUUGAGGAAGCCUGCUCCUAGUACGAGAGGACCGGAGUGGACACACCUCUGGUGUAUCGGUUGUCACGCCAGUGGCAUUGCCGAGUAGCUAAGUGUGGAAGAGAUAGCCGCUGAAAGCAUCUAAGCGGGAAACUCGUUUCAAGAUGAGAUCUGCCGGGGCCUUGAGCCCCCUGAAGAGUCGUUCAAGACCAGGACGUUGAUAGGUCAGGUGUGGAAGCGCAGUAAUGCGUUAAGCUAACUGAUACUAAUUGCUCGUGCGGCUUGACC